GGGGCCGUAGGGUAGCUUGGACAUCCUUUCGGCUUCGGGAGCCGGAGACCCGGGUUCAAAUCCCGGCGGCCCCA
rnacentral:tRNA from 2 species